UUUAUGGAACUCAAUCAGACCGCGGAAGUACAGCGCCCGUGAGCCGAGUUACGCCGCGCGAAGGAAGACAUCUCUCUCCCGCGCAUGCGCAAGCCAUUGCCGGCCGGCUUGGGCCCGGGGGCUGCGGAAUGCUGCUACCCGUUCGGAAGGCGAGUUUGGCGUUGUUGUCGCGUCGUCAGCGGCGUUCUACGGUGCGCAGACGGCUUCGUUUUCCAAGGCAGAAGCAUCUUCAACUGCCACUGGAUGGCACCAGGUACUUCGAAGGCUUCAGCUUCCUCUCUGCUAUGGAGCUGAUGUACGCCACAUACUGUUGUCUCAACCUAAACUACCCUGCUGAGCUGCCAGCAGCAUUGAAGUUCGUUUAGAGGCAACUUGUGGCAAUGGACCCACAGGAGGGGUCCCGGCAGUCUUGAAGAAAAGUUGCUCUGGUGCGUCUGAAGGCGCAGGGAGCCCACCAAGAGUUCUC